GUUGACCUCGAAUCAGGUAGGACUACCCGCUGAACUUAAGCAUAUCAAUAAGCGGAGGAA
rnacentral:rRNA from 5 species